AUUGAACGCUGGCGGCAGGCCUAACACAUGCAAGUCGAGCGAGCGGCGGACGGGUGAGUAAUGUCUGGGAAACUGCCUGAUGGAGGGGGCUAACUACUGGAAACGGUAGCUACUACCCCAUACCAUCAGAUGUGCCCAGAUGGGAUUAGCUGGUAGGUGGGGUAAAGGCUCACCUAGGCGACGAUCCCUAGCUGGUCUGAUAGGAUGACCAGCCACACUGGAACUGGGACACGGUACAGACUCGUACGGGAGCCAGAAGUGGGGAAUAUUGCACAAUGGGCGCAAGCCGGAUGCAGCCAUGCCGCGUGUGUGAAGAAGGCCUUCGGGUUGUAAAGCACUUUCAGCGGGGAGGCGUUACCCGCAGAAGAAGCACCGGCUAACUCCGUGCCAGCCGCCGCGGUAAUAC
rnacentral:rRNA from 1 species